rnacentral:rRNA from 1 species
UACAGAGGUCCCAAGCGUUGUUCGGAUUCACUGGGCGUAAAGGGUGCGUAGGUGGUGAGGUAAGUCGGAUGUGAAAGCUCGGAGCUCAACUCCGAAAUGGCAUUGGAAACUACCUUGCUCGAGGGUUGGAGGGGGGACUGGAAUGCUUGGUGUAGCAGUGAAAUGCGUAGAUAUCAAGCGGAACACCAGUGGCGAAGGCGAGUUCCUGGACAACUCCUGACACUGAGGCACGAAAGCUAGGGGAGCAAACAGG